rnacentral:rRNA from 1 species
UACGUAGGGGGCAAGCGUUGUCCGGAAUCAUUGGGCGUAAAGCGCGUGUAGGCGGCCCGAUAAGUCCGCUGUGAAAGUCCAGGGCUCAACCCUGGGAUGCCGGUGGAUACUGUCGGGCUCGAGUCCGGAAGAGGCGAGUGGAAUUCCUGGUGUAGCGGUGAAAUGCGUAGAGAUCCGGAGGAACCCCAGAGGCGAAGGCGGCCCCCUGGCUCGUACCUGACGCUCAGCCACGAAAGCAUGGGGAGCGAACGGG